AAAUCCCCAGAAAAUAAUAAAAUAAAGUUUAUAAAAAUAUAUAAAAAAUAUUAUAUUCCAUCAUAAUUAAUUAAUCUUAGUCAAUCAAUUUAAUUAUAUUAUAUUUUUUCCUUUUUUUAUCAAUGUAAGUUGGUUAUUUUUUGUUAUUAAUAUAAAUUUAAAAUAUCAAAAACGUCUCUUUUCUUUCUAUUAGGAUGUUAAUAAAAAUAAAAAAUAAAAAAUAACAAAAGACAGAAAAAAAUAUUAAUUUUUUUU
rnacentral:lncRNA from 1 species